AACACAAGGGAUAUAACAGAAAAGAUACUAGGAAGAAAAAUUCAACCACCUGCCUUAACAAUUUUGGAACAAUUCCUGGUGCUCCACAUCCUCACAGUCCUGGAAUACCAGCUUUGUUUAGCAGCAAACCUCAUUUGCUUCUCACAAGUUGCCUGAGAGGGAGGGAUUUAUGAAAGCAGCAUCAGAACCCCAGGCUCAACAGGGACAAGUGCCUCUGCAGUCCAAAACACCCACUUGAGGACAGGUGAGGUGAAAGAGAAAGACCAGAAGAAAGAAGAAGAAAUAUAAAGAAUCACAAAACUAUACCCCUGAAUUUGAAGCACACCUAUUUUCCACUCAAGAAAGUUCCCAGAGCUAUAGAUAUGCAGGGAUAAUGACUAAUUAGGCACCAUGAGAGUAUUAGAAGUACGUGUUAUUCAUGCUGGCCUUGUUCUGCUGCCAAAGAAGACAGUGCUGAUACCCACUUUGGUUUCUAAUCAAAGCACAGGUGGCCUUAUUUGACUUCAAAUUUUUUGCCCAUCCUACUGAAACACGAGUGCAGCAAACUCCUCUCAUGUGCACAGGAAAGACUCCAGCUUACUGCAUCUCUGUAAGGCCUCCUAAGGUGAACAUCUAUACUGAGGGGAUAUUUAUGCCCAAGCUAUCAAGUGCUACGUUGGCCCACUCUGGGAGGUAAAGAGAUGCUGUACUGAGCACAGGAGCUCUGAAAGAA